GGUCCGGGCGUUAUCCGGAUUUAUUGGGUUUAAAGGGAGCGUAGGCCGGAGAUUAAGCGUGUUGUGAAAUGUAGUGGCUCAACCUCUGCACUGCAGCGCGAACUGGUCUUCUUGAGUACGCACAACGUGGGCGGAAUUCGUGGUGUAGCGGUGAAAUGCUUAGAUAUGACGAAGAACUCCGAUAGCGAAGGCAGCCUGCUGGGGUGGCAUUGACGCUGAGGCUCGAAAGCGCGGGUAUC
rnacentral:rRNA from 1 species